UGAGGAAUUUUCGUCAAUGGGGGAAACCCUGAACGAGCAACGCCGCGUGCAGGAAGACGGCCUUCGGGUUGUAAACUGCUUUUCUUGGGGACGAGAACGGACGGUACCCAAGGAAUCAGCCUCGGCUAACUACGUGCCAGCAGCCGCGGUAAUACGUAGGAGGCGAGCGUUGUCCGGAGUUACUGGGCGUAAAGCGCACGCAGGCGGUUUAUUAAGUCUAUGAUGACAGUUCCCGGCUCAACUGGGGAAGUGUUGUAGAAACUGAUAGACUUGAGGGCUUCAGAGGGAUGUGGAACUCCAGGUGGAGUGGUGAAAUGCGUAGAUAUCUGGAAGAACACCAAAGGCGAAGGCAGCAUCCUGGGAAGUACCUGACGCUCAGGUGCGAAAGCUAGGGGAGCGAACG
rnacentral:rRNA from 1 species